ensembl:snoRNA LOC120100402 small nucleolar RNA SNORA48
CGCCCUGGACUUGGGCAAAGAGAUACCUUGGUGGUGGUGAUGUUCUUAUAGCAGUCAGGGGCAGAGCAGAAGGCAGUCCUUUGCUCACCCGAGCCUGAUGCCUGGCUUGGUGGCCAAGCUGUUUUAUGCUUAGGACUCAGAG